GCGGAUGCUGAAGCCGAGCGCACGCACGAUGAUCGAUCCGCUAAAGAAGGGUCAGAUCCCAGUGGAGACCCCAGGUCCUGGGCAGGGCGGCAGGAGCCCACGCUGCUGAGCCACCAGCUGACCCCUCUCGCUGUCCCUUGUGCCCAACGCGGCGCGCUCUCGCCAGCGAACGCGCCCCAGGCGCUCGGGACCAGGCGCGCGUGAUUGGCAGCCCCAACCUCCGCCCGGGCGGGCCCUCCCACCCAAGGCGUACUUCAGUCCCCGCCCACUCCCGGGCCGCCACCUCCUCCUGGUCCCCGUAGCCGGCGUUGCGGCGCAGCGAGGUUCCAGGCGGCCCCAGGUCGGCGCGAUCCUCGCCCGAACGGAGACAUGAAGAUCGAAUUCGCGCCGCUCAACAUCCCGCUGGCGCGGCGGCUGCAGACGGCGGCGGUGCUGCAGUGGGUGCUCACCUUCCUGCUGCUCGCACAGGUGUGCACUGGAAUCUUCGUGAUACUGAUCAUACGUAACUAUUGGUUCCUCUACAUUCCUUAUUUGACGUGGUUGUACUUUGACCGGCGUACCCCAGAGCAAGGAGGCAGGAGAUCCAACUGGGUCAGAAACUGGACCGUUUGGAGGUACUUUAAGGACUAUUUUCCGAUUCACGUCCUCAAAACUUGGGAUUUGAAUCCAAGUCACAACUACAUAUUCGGGUUUCACCCCCAUGGAGUGCUUGUUGCUGGAGCCUUUGGAAACUUUUGUACCAAUUAUUCAGACUUCAAGGAGCUGUUUCCCGGCUGUACUGCAUAUGUUCACUUGCUCCCGUUUUGGUUCUGGUGUCCUUUCUUCCGAGAAUAUGUGCUGAGCUUUGGGGCAGUCUCAGUUUCUAAGAGAAGUGUGUCCCACGUGCUGAGCAAGGAGGGAGGUGGGAACAUUUCAGUGAUUAUCCUUGGGGGCGCCAAAGAAUCGCUGGAUGCUCAUCCUGGAAAAUUCACUCUGUUCAUCCGCCAGCGGAAAGGAUUUGUUAAGCUGGCUUUGACCCAUGGUGCCUCUUUAGUCCCUGUGUUUUCUUUUGGUGAAAAUGAACUAUUUAAGCAAGUUAGCAACCCUGAAGGCUCAUGGCUUCGAACUGUGCAGGAGAAACUACAGAAGAUCAUGGGGUUUGCUCUACCAUUGUUCCACGCCAGAGGGAUUUUUCAGUACAGUUUUGGCAUAGUGCCUUAUAGGAAGCCUAUCCACACUGUUGGCGUGAGCAGUUUUGAAGAGUAGAGCUCACUUGUUUUGUACAAUGUUCUUCAACUUGGGUUGGUGUGUUUCAUCAUGCUUAUAUUCCGGUUAUGCAUAUUUGACAAGAAUCCCACAGAAAUGGCAUUGCGUCCUCCUCGUUGGCCGCCCAAUUCCUGUUCAGCAGACUCUGCACCCGACUCCAGAGCAGAUUGAGGAGUUGCAUAAGACCUAUAUGGAGGAGCUAAGGAAAUUAUUUGAGGAGCAUA